rnacentral:hammerhead_ribozyme from 1 species
AUCCAUCUGACGAGUCCCAAAUAGGACAAUGUGGCGCUCGUCCUGGAU